rnacentral:rRNA from 1 species
AAGGGAGCUUGCUCCCGGAUGUUAGCGGCGGACGGGUGAUAACACGUGGGUAACCUGCCUGUAAGACUGGGAUAACUCCGGGAAACCGGAGCUAAUACCGGAUAGUUCCUUGAACCGCAUGGUUCAAGGAUGAAAGACGGUUUCGGCUGUCACUUACAGAUGGACCCGCGGCGCAUUAGCUAGUUGGUGGGGUAAUGGCUCACCAAGGCGACGAUGCGUAGCCGACCUGAGAGGGUGAUCGGCCACACUGGGACUGAGACACGGCCCAGACUCCUACGGGAGGCAGCAGUAGGGAAUCUUCCGCAAUGGACGAAAGUCUGACGGAGCAACGCCGCGUGAGUGAUGAAGGUUUUCGGAUCGUAAAGCUCUGUUGUUAGGGAAGAACAAGUGCGAGAGUAACUGCUCGCACCUUGACGGUACCUAACCAGAAAGCCACGGCUAACUACGUGCCAGCAGCCGCGGUAAUACGUAGGUGGCAAGCGUUGUCCGGAAUUAUUGGGCGUAAAGGGCUCGCAGGCGGUUUCUUAAGUCUGAUGUGAAAGCCCCCGGCUCAACCGGGGAGGGUCAUUGGAAACUGGGAAACUUGAGUGCAGAAGAGGAGAGUGGAAUUCCACGUGUAGCGGUGAAAUGCGUAGAGAUGUGGAGGAACACCAGUGGCGAAGGCGACUCUCUGGUCUGUAACUGACGCUGAGGAGCGAAAGCGUGGGGAGCGAACAGGAUUAGAUACCCUGGUAGUCCACGCCGUAAACGAUGAGUGCUAAGUGUUAGGGGGUUUCCGCCCCUUAGUGCUGCAGCUAACGCAUUAAGCACUCCGCCUGGGGAGUACGGUCGCAAGACUGAAACUCAAAGGAAUUGACGGGGGCCCGCACAAGCGGUGGAGCAUGUGGUUUAAUUCGAAGCA